GAUGAACGCUGGCGGCAGGCCUAACACAUGCAAGUCGAGCGCCCCGCAAGGGGAGCGGCGGACGGGCGAGUAACACGUGGGAAUUUUCCUCAAGGUACGGAACAACUCAGGGAAACUUGGGCUAAUACCGUAUGAUGCAGAGAUGCCAAAGAUUGAUCGCCUUGGGAUAAGCCCGCGUCAGAUUAGGUAGUUGGUGGGGUAAUGGCCUACCAAGCCUGUGAUCUGUAGCUGGUCUGAGAGGACGAUCAGCCACAUUGGGACUGAGACACGGCCCAAACUCCUACGGGAGGCAGCAGUGGGGAAUCUUGCGCAAUGGACGAAAGUCUGACGCAGCCAUGCCGCGUGAAUGAUGAAGGUCUUAGGAUUGUAAAGUUCUUUAGCCUGUGACGAUGAUGACGGUAACAGGAGAAUAAGCCCCGGCUAACUUCGUGCCAGCCGCCGCCGUAA
rnacentral:rRNA from 1 species